rnacentral:rRNA from 1 species
GUGCCAGCCGCCGCGGUAAUACCGGCAGCCCGAGUGAUGGCCGAUCUUAUUGGGCCUAAAGCGUCCGUAGCUGGCUGCGCAAGUCCGUCGGGAAAUCCACUCGCCCAACGAGUGGGCGUCCGACGGAAACUGCACAGCUUGGGACCGGAAGGCUCGAAGGGUACGUUCGGGGUAGGAGUGAAAUCCCGUAAUCCCGGACGGACUACCGAUGGCGAAAGCACUCUGAGAAGACGGCUUCGACAGUGAGGGACGAAAGCGCGGGGAGCAAACAGGAUUAGAUACCCGAGUAGUCC